rnacentral:rRNA from 1 species
UAAUUUGAAGAAGGUAUCUUUGGGUCUGGCUCUUGUCUAUGUUUCUUGGAACAGAACGUCACAGAGGGUGAGAAUCCCGUGCGAUGAGAUGACCCAGACCUAUGUAAAGUUCCUUCGAAGAGUCGAGUUGUUUGGGAAUGCAGCUCUAAGUGGGUGGUAAAUUCCAUCUAAAGCUAAAUAUUGGCGAGAGACCGAUAGCGAACAAGUACAGUGAUGGAAAGAUGAAAAGAACUUUGAAAAGAGAGUGAAAAAGUACGUGAAAUUGUUGAAAGGGAAGGGCUUGAGAUCAGACUUGGUAUUUUGUAUGUUACUCUCUCGGGGGUGGCCUCUACAGUUUACCGGGCCAGCAUCAGUUUGGGCGGUAGGACAAUUGCAAAGAAAUGUGGCACUGCCUCGGUAGUGUGUUAUAGUCUUUGUCGAUACUGCCAGCCUAGACUGAGGACUGCGGCUUCGGCCUAGGAUGUUGGCAUAAUGAUCUUAAGUCGCCCGUCUUGAAACACGGACCAAGGAGUCUAACGUCUAUGCGAGUGUUUGGGUGUAAAACCCGUACGCGUAAUGAAAGUGAACGUAGGUA